UCCUUUUUCAGGGUUGGGUCUUGCAAUAAUAUGAAAUGUACAGUGGCAAGAAAGAAAUAUCGUAAGAGUAACUCAUCCUUCUGUGAUGUGUUACCCAGCUGUGGGAUGAGCAGGAUCACAGUGCAUGGAUGAAGAGCUGUUUGAGGGGCAAGGCUGGCAGAGUUGUAGAGCAUGGGGCUGCACCUGUGUGGCACUGGGUCUCCAGCAGUGGCAGUGCUCCUCAGGGUUCCACUCAGCCAGUUCUGCCCAGAACGCCAGGGAGCAACCUGGGAGCAGGAGGUGAAUGCACCAUUAGCAUCUUUGCUCAUGAGACUGAACUGGGAGCUGCCCUUGGCUGUCUCAAGGGACAAGAUGCCUUGCAGAAGGAUCUAGAACUGAUUCACAGUGAGCAGAACUCAAGUAACAUAAGGAGCAGCAAACAUGUUUCCUUUCCUGCAACAUCACUCUGGAAGGGAGAAGUGUUAUAACUACUGCUGAAUCAGAGCAGCAGAAGCACGUUGUCUGCAAAUCAUGAGAAAGGAGAUGUCUGGUUUGAGACUUCCUUGGGAUUUCACUUCCACAAUUAUUUUCAUUCGUUUCCUACUGCUGUUUUGUCCAGUCACCCUUCCCUAAGCUUUCCACAGUCAUAUCCAAGGCACACUGGAGACUGAGAAAGAGUCAAUAAUCAAAUGGGCUCAGAUGUUCUCAUGCAACAGAACUAUUCAGACUCCCUUUAUUUUCACAAAAAAGCUCUGGAAACACGUGCUGUCCAUUUUCCAACUGCUGAAAACAUUUCCAGGAGAAUGGUAAAACCAUGGGAAACUCUUGUAGAUGACGCUGACUCCCAGAGGCACAGUUCAGGUGCUCUGUGGCUGUGACGAGUUUGGGCUGACUUCCUACCCCAAGGAGAGCUGUGAAGUGAGGGUGAAGAGAGGUGGAAAGCAGUGCAGGCUGAUGGAAAGUGUGCAGCCCUCAGUUCUGAAUAAACCUGCCACACACCUGUGAGGCUCUACAGGUGUGCAGCUUGUGUGGGUUACAAACUGCCAGCUGCUUGUCACCUCUCUCCCAGCCCUGGCGGCUCUGGGAUCCCCAGGAAGCAGAGUGAGGCAGUCCCCGCUUCAAACAGCCUCCAGCAGUCACCUCAGCCUCUGUUAAAGAUGUACAGAUCAAGUGCCAGCACAAGAAGUGAUGCUGUUGUCAUAACCUGAAUCUUACACGUCCCAUCGGAGAUGAAUUUUCUUUGUGAAAUGUGCAACACCAGCUGAUAAAGUGUGCACAAGAUCAUUACUGACUGAAUUUUUCUAUUUUAUGUUUCAAAUGCUGAAACAACUGCUUUGAGAGAAAUAUAUCUUGCUUUAUUCCUCUUAUUCUGAGACAUAGUAAAAUAUUUCCAUAUUU